rnacentral:rRNA from 1 species
GACGAACGCUGGCGGCGUGCUUAACACAUGCAAGUCGAGCGGUAAGGCCCUUUCGGGGGUACACGAGCGGCGAACGGGUGAGUAACACGUGGGUGACCUGCCCUCAGCUCUGGGAUAAGCCUGGGAAACCGGGUCCAAUACUGGAUAUGACUCCAUGACGCAUGUUGUGGGGUGGAAAGCCUUGUGCGGCUGAGGAGUCGGGCCCGCGGCCUAUC